UACGGAGGGUGCAAGCGUUAUCCGGAUUGACUGGGUUUAAAGGGUGCGUAGGUGGGCAGGAAAGUCAGUGGUGAAAUCUCCGGGCUUAACCCGGAAACUGCCGUUGAUACUAUUUGUCUUGAAUAUUGUGGAGGUAAGCGGAAUAUGUCAUGUAGCGGUGAAAUGCUUAGAUAUGACAUAGAACACCAAUUGCGAAGGCAGCUUACUACACAAUGAUUGACGCUGAGGCACGAAAGCGUGGGGAUCAAACAGG
rnacentral:rRNA from 1 species